rnacentral:piRNA from 1 species
UACUGUUUUGCUGUUAAAAAACCUAAAU